rnacentral:rRNA from 1 species
UACAGAGGGUGCAAGCGUUAAUCGGAAUUACUGGGCGUAAAGGGCGCGUAGGCGGUUGUGCGAGUGUGGUGUGAAAGCCCCGGGCUUAACCUGGGAAGCGCAUCGCAAACGGCAUGACUGGAGUAGAUGAGAGGGUGGCGGAAUUUCCGGUGUAGCGGUGAAAUGCGUAGAUAUCGUGAGGAACACCAGAGGCGAAGGCGGCUACCUAGACGAAUUGCUGACGCUCAGGCACGAAAGCGUGGGAGCAAGCAGG